AUUGAACGCUGGCGGCAGGCCUAACACAUGCAAGUCGAGCGGAGCGGCGGACGGGUGAGUAAUGCCUAGUAAUCUGCCUGGUCGUGGGGGAUAACCUCCUGAAACUGGCGCUCAUACCGCAUACUAUCAGAUGAGCCUGGGUCGGAUUGGCUAGUUGGUGGGGUAAAGGCCUACAAAGGCGACGAUGCGUAACUGGGCUGAGAGGAUGAUCAGUCACACUGGAACUGAGACACGGUCCAGACUCCUACGGGAGGCAGCAGUGGGGAAUAUUGGACAAUGGGCGAAAGCCUGAUCCAGCCAUGCCGCGUGAGUGAAGAAGGUCUUCGGAUUGUAAAGCACUUUAAGUUGGGAAGCGGUAACAACAGAAUAAGCACCGGCUAACUUCGUGCCAGCAGCCGCGGUAAUUC
rnacentral:rRNA from 1 species